rnacentral:misc_RNA from 1 species
UCUCCGUUGGUGAACCAGCGGAGGGAUCAUUAUCGAGUUUAUAACUCCCAAACCCUAUGUGAACUUACCACUUGUUGCUUCGGCGCGCGGUUCGGCGCCGCCGAGGACACUUAAACUCUUUGUUUUUAUAAGCAUUUCUGAGUGGCCGAAAGGCAAAAUACAAAUGAAUCAAAACUUUCAACAACGGAUCUCUUGGUUCUG